rnacentral:rRNA from 1 species
AUUGAACGCUAGCGGGAGGCCUAACACAUGCAAGUCGAACGAGUGGCGGACGGGUGAGUAAUAUCUGGGAAACUGCCUGAUGGCGGGGGAUACCUACUGGAAAGAGUGGCUAAUACCGCAUACCAUUCGAUCUGCCGAGAUUGGAUUAGCUAGUUGGUGGGGUAACGGCUCACCAAGGCGACGAUCCCUAGCUGGUCUGAGAGGAUGACCAGCCACACUGGAACUGAGACACGGUCCAGACUCCUACGGGAGGCAGCAGUGGGGAAUAUUGCACAAGGGGCGCAAGCCUGAUGCAGCCAUGCCGCGUGGAUGAAGAAGGCCUUCGGGUUGUAAAGUACUUUGAGCAGAGAGGCGUUACCCAACCAAAAAGCACCGGCUAACUCCGUGCCAGCAGCCGCGGUAAUUC